GACAGAGGUGCCGAGCGUUAGGCGGAAUCACUGGGCUUAAAGCGUGUGUAGGCGGACGCCUCAGUACCUUGUGAAAUCCCCCGGCUCAACCGGGGAACGGCUGGGUAUACUGGGCGUCUUGAGAGACCUAGGGGCGAGCGGAACAAGCGGUGGAGCGGUGAAAUGCGUAGAUAUCGGGAGGAACACCUGUGGCGAAGGCGGCCCCCUGGUUGGAUACUGACGCUGAUACGCGAAAGCGUGGGGAGCAAACAGG
rnacentral:rRNA from 1 species